CAGUUUCCGUAUGAUCACCAAAGUUAAGCAACAUUGAGCCUUGUGAGUACCUAUAUGGGUGACCACUUGGAAAUACCAUGUGCUGUAAG